rnacentral:rRNA from 1 species
GGGCCCGCACAAGCAGCGGAGCAUGUGGUUUAAUUCGAAGCAACGCGAAGAACCUUACCUAGACUUGACAUCUCCUGAAUUACUCGUAAUAGAGGAAGCCCUUCGGGGCAGGAAGACAGGUGGUGCAUGGUUGUCGUCAGCUCGUGUCGUGAGAUGUUGGGUUAAGUCCCGCAACGAGCGCAACCCUUAUUGUUAGUUGCUACCAUUAAGUUGAGCACUCUAGCAAGACUGCCCGGGUUAACCGGGAGGAAGGUGGGGAUGACGUCAAAUCAUCAUGCCCCUUAUGUCUAGGGCUACACACGUGCUACAAUGGUGAGUACAAAGAGAUGCAAUACCGCGAGGUGGAGCCAAACUCAAAAACUCAUCCCAGUUCGGAUUGUAGGCUGCAACUCGCCUACAUGAAGCCGGAGUUGCUAGUAAUCGCGAAUCAGAAUGUCGCGGUGAAUACGUUCCCGGGCCUU